rnacentral:misc_RNA from 1 species
GAGGCUCUGUAACAAGUGGUGGAGCUUUUUUUGUAAAUAUCGCUGCUAACAAACGCUAAGGCGGAUCUGAAGAAAAAAACAAUAGAAGCAAAUUUGAUUUUCAGUGGACACGAUAUAAGGAAACGCUAACGAUGGAUGACAUGAAAUCUCAAUAAUAAAAACGAACGAAAAAGGAAACGGAUGAAAUGAACAUCUUCCAUUAUUCAGAAACAACAUAUCUAAUACCAAAGGAGGACAUAACAGUGGAAUUUUAAGACAAUCAAAAACAAGGGCAAAUCUUAGAGUGACUAUCAUGGCAAGACUUUUUUCGUCGAAUAUAAUUCAAGAAAGCAAAAAAUCAAGGCAACGAGAAGUGAUCGUAAAACGUAUGUCAAUAUAUUAUUCUAAGACUAAGGUCCUCAAAACACAGUGCUAUUCAAAUUUAUCAAAGCGUUUAAAUAUUAUUAAUAAUUCAAAUUGUGAUUUAAGCAAACUAAGAUGUUGCAUUCAAUCAAAUGAUGGAUUUGCAUAAGAUUAUAAGUCAUAAAGAUAUCCAAACAAAAUUAGAAGAAAGAAAAAGGAAAAGAAAAAAGAGAGAGAGAAAAGAAACUAAAACGUCGAAAAUUAAAAUUCAUUGGAACUUUUAAUGUAAAGUAGCAAUCCAUUUAGCGUAAAAUUCUGCGCUCAGGUAGCAAGCUCUGUCGUCGAUCAUAGAGCAGCGUUAAUAACGAAACAAAAUAAUAUUCGUUUGCUAAAUUAGCUACGCCUUCAUCAACAUCAUGGCAAAAACGCUUGCGUAGCAAAAGAACUCUCUUGCAAGAAAUCUUGGGAAUUACCUCUUUGUUGGCGUGCUUAUGGUAACACCGUUGGAGAUAUUGUUAAAAGUUAUUAUGAACAAUAGUAACAUGUUAAUUCUAUUGCCAUUACACAAUCGUAGAAUUAAGUGAUAUAUGCAAUCGAUCGAAUUAAUAAAAUGGAUUACUACAAAAUGAACGGUGAACUAAUGAAUGAGAAAAUGAAUUGUAUGAGUGAAUAUUUUGUGUGAAUAAUAAUAAUAAAAAAAAGAAUCCUUCGUUUAUCGUUUAUAUUAGCUUCUAACUUGAGUAUCAAAAUUUCAUUUAUCUUCUAUGAUUUCAUAAAUUAUAUAUUCUUUCAAAAUUGUUCAUUGUUAUCAACGUUAAACAUCAAACAUAUAAUUAUUUUAUACACUUUCAGUUGGAUGUGCAAUUAAGAAAUCAUAGAACGUAUGAUCGCUGAAUUUGUUGUUUGGAAAUGUUUCGUUGGAAAAAUGUAAUGGAUAAAAAUGAAAAGUUUGCUUACC